CAAAGAUUAAGCCAUGCAAGUGUCAGUUCAUGCCAAACUAAGGUGAAACCGCGAAUGGCUCAUUAAAUCAGUUAUAAUUUACUUGAUGGCAUGACGUUACCGUUACUUGGAUAACUGUGGCAAUUCUAGAGCUAAUACAUGCACUCGGGUCCUGACCGUGUGAGCGGAAGGGACGCUUUUAUUAGAUCAAAACCAAUCGGGAAGUCGCGGCGCUUCGCGCGCCGCGGCGUACCGCAUCCGUCUUGGUGACUCUGGAUAAAUUGCCGCUGAUCGCAAGGUCUCAGCACCUGCGACGCAUCUUUCAAAUGUCUGACUUAUCAACUAUCGACGGUAUGCCACGUGCCUACCGUGGUGGUAACGGGUAACGGGGAAUCAGGGUUCGAUUCCGGAGAGGGAGCCUGAGAAACAGCUACCACAUCCAAGGAAGGCAGCAGGCGCGCAAAUUACCCACUCCCGGCACGGGGAGGUAGUGACGAAAAAUAACGAUGCAGAACUCUUUUCGAGGCUUUGCAAUCGGAAUGAGAAGAGCCUAAAUCAUUUACCGAGUAUCCAUUGGAGGGCAAGUCUGG
rnacentral:rRNA from 1 species